CGAACCCUCUCCUUCCCCGAUCUCCCCUCUCUGCCUUCUCUGUUCUCUCUCGCGGACGGCGACGACGAUGGAAGCAAGGCUCCAACUCCGGCGAUCUUUCUUCGCCGGCAUCAUCUCCGAUUGAGCUUAGGCCGGCUGGCGUUUCCCUCUCCGGGCCGCAGCAUAGCGUCGUGUCUCUUCUCAUGCCUGCCUACCGAGCCCUAGUUCUUGUUUCGGCGCUGGAUUGAGCUCAGAUCCGGCCGACGCCUUUCAUCUCUGGGCUGUGGACACUCGCGUCCCCUUGUGCCGAUCAUUGAUGCCACUGGACCAAGCGAGAUCCACUUGAUCGCCGGCGUGAAGGGGCAAUUAGGGCUUCAAGGGUCUCGGAUUGGAGACGUUGGGUAUUAGUGAGUUGUGCUUGGGCUGUCGAGCAGAGAUCAAAGGGGUUGAUGCUUGAUCAAUAAUCUCCCUGCUUGAUUCUUUCUUGAUCCGAAUUGUGGAGUGGAAUCCAACACCUUGCUGUUCUGUGGACUUUUUGGUUCGGCAGCCACCCAUCCAUCAGUGUUCCCUUGAUCCAGAAUCAACUCGGCAGCAACCCAUCCAUCAGUAUUCCCUUGAUCCAGAAUCAACAGCAGUUGGAUUGAGGACGCUGAUUCGAGACGGGCGUCUCGACUUCAGAUUUGGAUUGUACCUUCUAUUUGAGGCGGGUACCCUUUGACUUAUCUUUUUGAUAUUGUCUUAUGAUAUGUGUAGCUUAUAUAUAAUUACUAGUGUUUGGUAGAUUUAGCAUUUUCCUGGUGUUAGUUAGUUGAUACCUGAUACAUGUUGCUACUGUUGUCUGCUAUACGUUAGUCUAGUAUAUAUAUGACUAGUGGUAUUGGUAGCUUUAGCACCUCCCUGGUUUAGUUAUUUGAUACUUGUUGCUACUGUUAUCUGCUAUACUUUCGUCUUGUAUACCUUUACUGCUUACCAUGUGUACGUAUGUUUAUAGAGAUGGAUAUUUAUAGUGCUUAUCUACACAUGAUUAGUUGCUGUAGAUACUUGUUAUAUGUUGUUGGAUUCAUGUUGCUUAUGU